AAAGCAAUAUGAUCCAGGUUAAAGCCGCCUGUAACAACAAUUAAUGCAGAAUAGUGAAAUAUAGUUGACAUGCAGCUUUAGCCUGGACAUAUUG